UCCCUGUUUCUUGUACAGGGCUGCAGGUCCCUGGUGAACCUGAUUACUCGGAGAGGAACCUGGAGAGAGAGACGGAGAGAGAGAGAGAGAGACAGAGAGAGAGAGAGGACCUGAGCCCUAGGACCAUGCCCCAGGACUACCUGACAUGAUGACUCCUUGCUGUCCCCAGUCCACCUGGCCAUGCUGCUGCUCCAAUUUCAACUGACCUGAGCCCUAGGACCAUGCCCCAGGACUACCUGACAUGACUCCUUGCUGUCCCCAGUCCACCUGGCCAUGCUGCUGCUCCAGUUUCAACUGUUCUGCCUUACUAUUAUUCGACCAUGCUGGUCAUUUAUGAACAUUUGAACAUCUUGGCCAUGUUCUGUUAUAAUCUCCACCCGGCACAGCCAGAAGAGGACGGGCCACCCCACAUAUGCUCUCUCUAAUUCUCUCUUUCUUUCUCUCUCUCUCGGAGGACCUGAGCCCUAGGACCGUGCCCCAGGACUACCUGACAUGAUGACUCCUUGCUGUUCCCGGUCCACCUGACUGUGCUCCUGCUCCAGUUUCAACUGUUCUGCCUUGUUAUUAUUCGACCAUGCUGGUCAUUUAUGAACAUUUGAACAUCUUGGCCAUGUUCUGUUAUAAUCUCCACCCGGCACAGCCAGAAGAGGACUGGCCACCCCACAUAGCCUGGUUCCUCUCUAGGUUUCUUCCUAGGUUUUUGCCUAUCUAGGGAGUUUUUCCUAGCCACCGUGCUUCUACACCUGCAUUGCUUGCUGUUUGGGGUUUUAGGCUGGGUUUCUGUACAGCACUUUGAGAUAUCAGCUGAUGUACGAAGGUGUCACGCCUUGGUCAUUGUAUUUUGUGUUUUUGUUAUAUGUUUAGGUUGGCCAGGGUGUGACAUGGGUUUAUAUGUUGUGUUUCGUAUUGGGGUUUGUAAUAUUUGGGAUCGCGGCUGAUUAGGGGUGUUAGGCUUGGCUGCCUGAGGCGAUUCUCAAUUGGAGUCAGGUGCUUAUCGUUGUCUCUGAUUGGGAACCGUAUUUAGGCAGCCUGAGUUUCGCUUUGUAUUUUGUGGGUGUUUGUUCCUGUCUCUGUGUUGUAGUCACCAGAUAGGCUGUAAUUAGUUUCACGUUCCGUUCUGUUGUUUUUGUAUUUCAGUUAUUUCAUGCACCGCUAUUCUGUUCAUUAAAGUCAUGAGUAACCUACA